AUGCUUGCUUCGGCAGCACACACACUAAAAUGGGAAUGAUACAGAGAUUAGCAUGGCCCCUGCGUAAGGAUGGCUUGCAAAUUCAUGAAGCUUCCAUAUUUUUA